UACGGAGGGUGCAAGCGUUAUCCGGAUUCACUGGGUUUAAAGGGUGCGUAGGUGGGUUUGUAAGUCAGUGGUGAAAUCUCCAAGCUUAACUUGGAAACUGCCGUUGAUACUAUAAAUCUUGAAUGUUGUGGAGGUGAGCGGAAUAUGUCAUGUAGCGGUGAAAUGCUUAGAUAUGGCAUAGAACACCAAUUGCGAAGGCAGCUCACUACACAAAGAUUGACACUGAGGCACGAAAGCGUGGGGAUCAAACAGG
rnacentral:rRNA from 1 species